rnacentral:tRNA from 1 species
CACUCGCUGGUCAAUUCGGCGAUCACCGCCUGGUAGGCGGCCGCUGUCGAGCCCAACUCGGCCGCCAGGUUGUUCCAAGCCGCCGCGGCUGCC